rnacentral:rRNA from 1 species
AUUGAACGCUGGCGGCAUGCCUUACACAUGCAAGUCGAACGGUAACGCGGGGCAACCUGGCGACGAGUGGCGAACGGGUGAGUAAUGCAUCGGAACGUGCCCAGUAGUGGGGGAUAGCCCGGCGAAAGCCGGAUUAAUACCGCAUACGACCUACGGGAGAAAGGGGGGGAUCGCAAGACCUCUCGCUAUUGGAGCGGCCGAUGUCAGAUUGGGUAGUUGGUGGGGUAAAGGCCUACCAAGCCGACGAUCUGUAGCUGGUCUGAGAGGACGACCAGCCACACUGGGACUGAGACACGGCCCAGACUCCUACGGGAGGCAGCAGUGGGGAAUUUUGGACAAUGGGCGCAAGCCUGAUCCAGCCAUGCCGCGUGCGGGAAGAAGGCCUUCGGGUUGUAAACCGCUUUUGUCAGGGAAGAAAUCUUCUGAGUUAAUACCUCGGGAGGAUGACGGUACCUGAAGAAUAAGCACCGGCUAACUACGUGCCAGCCGCCGCCGUAAGAC